rnacentral:rRNA from 1 species
CCUACGGGUGGCUGCAGUGGGGAAUAUUGCACAAUGGGCGCAAGCCUGAUGCAGCCAUGCCGCGUGUGUGAAGAAGGCCUUCGGGUUGUAAAGCACUUUCAGCGGGGAGGAAGGCGUUAAGGUUAAUAACCUUGGCGAUUGACGUUACCCGCAGAAGAAGCACCGGCUAACUCCGUGCCAGCAGCCGCGGUAAUACGGAGGGUGCAAGCGUUAAUCGGAAUUACUGGGCAUAAAGCGCACGCAGGCGGUCUGUCAAGUCGGAUGUGAAAUCCCCGGGCUCAACCUGGGAACUGCAUUCGAAACUGGCAGGCUAGAGUCUUGUAGAGGGGGGUAGAAUUCCAGGUGUAGCGGUGAAAUGCGUAGAGAUCUGGAGGAAUACCGGUGGCGAAGGCGGCCCCCUGGACAAAGACUGACGCUCAGGUGCGAAAGCGUGGGGAGCAAACAGGAUUAGAUACCCCGGUAGUC